GACGAACGCUGGCGGCGUGCUUAACACAUGCAAGUCGAACGGAAAGGCCCUGCUUUUGUGGGGUGCUCGAGUGGCGAACGGGUGAGUAACACGUGAGUAACCUGCCCUUGACUUUGGGAUAACUUCAGGAAACUGGGGCUAAUACCGGAUAGGAGCUCCUGCUGCAUGGUGGGGGUUGGAAAGUUUCGGCGGUUGGGGAUGGACUCGCGGCUUAUCAGCUUGUUGGUGGGGUAGUGGCUUACCAAGGCUUUGACGGGUAGCCGGCCUGAGAGGGUGACCGGCUACAUUGGGACUGAGAUACGGCCCAGACUCCUACGGGAGGCAGCAGUGGGGAAUAUUGCACAAUGGGCGGAAGCCUGAUGCAGCAACGCCGCGUGCGGGAUGACGGCCUUCGGGUUGUAAACCGCUUUCGCCUGUGACGAAGCGUGAGUGACGGUAAUGGGUAAAGAAGCACCAGCUAACUACGUG
rnacentral:rRNA from 1 species